GAUGCAGUCGAGCGAAUGGAUUGAGAGCUUGCUCUCAAGAAGUUAGCGGCGGACGGGUGAGUAACACGUGGGUAACCUGCCCAUAAGACUGGGAUAACUCCGGGAAACCGGGGCUAAUACCGGAUAAUAUUUUGAACUGCAUGGUUCGAAAUUGAAAGGCGGCUUCGGCUGUCACUUAUGGAUGGACCCGCGUCGCAUUAGCUAGUUGGUGAGGUAACGGCUCACCAAGGCAACGAUGCGUAGCCGACCUGAGAGGGUGAUCGGCCACACUGGGACUGAGACACGGCCCAGACUCCUACGGGAGGCAGCAGUAGGGAAUCUUCCGCAAUGGACGAAAGUCUGACGGAGCAACGCCGCGUGAGUGAUGAAGGCUUUCGGGUCGUAAAACUCUGUUGUUAGGGAAGAACAAGUGCUAGUUGAAUAAGCUGGCACCUUGACGGUACCUAACCAGAAAGCCACGGCUAACUACGUGCCAGCAGCCGCGGUAAUACGUAGGUGGCAAGCGUUAUCCGGAAUUAUUGGGCGUAAAGCGCGCGCAGGUGGUUUCUUAAGUCUGAUGUGAAAGCCCACGGCUCAACCGUGGAGGGUCAUUGGAAACUGGGAGACUUGAGUGCAGAAGAGGAAAGUGGAAUUCCAUGUGUAGCGGUGAAAUGCGUAGAGAUAUGGAGGAACACCAGUGGCGAAGGCGACUUUCUGGUCUG
rnacentral:rRNA from 1 species